rnacentral:rRNA from 1 species
GUAGGUGGCAAGCGUUGUCCGGAAUUAUUGGGCGUAAAGCGCGCGCAGGCGGUUCUUUAAGUCUGAUGUGAAAGCCCACGGCUCCACCGUGGAGGGUCAUUGGAAACUGGAGAACUUGAGUACAGAAGAGGAAAGCGGAAUUCCACGUGUAGCGGUGAAAUGCGUAGAGAUGUGGAGGAACACCAGUGGCGAAGGCGGCUUUCUGGUCUGUAACUGACGCUGAGGCGCGAAAGCGUGGGGAGCAAACAGGGAUUAGAUACCCUGGUAGUCCACGCCGUAAACGAUGAGUGCUAAGUGUUAGGGGGGUUUCCGCCCCCUUAGUGCUGCAGCUAACGCAUUAAGCACUCCGCCUGGGGAGUACGGCCGCAAGGCUG